ensembl:lncRNA
AAACAAUGUCAGUUUCAUAUGGACUAUUCCAAAUAAUAGAAAAAAGAGACAAUAUUCCAUAACUUACAUAAAAGGCUAGCAACAUCUUCACGCUAAAACUUGACAAGAACAGUAUGAAGGGAAAAAAAUCGCAUUUAAUAAUCACAUUAAUUACAUAUUUAAUAUAUUUAAUAAUAUCAGUGUAAAAAUCCUAAACCAAAUAUAAGCAACUUGAAUCUAGGAAUAUACAAAAAGUCUGAUAAAUCAUGAACAAAUUGUGUAAAGUUGAUAAAAGUGAACUUUUCCAAGACUGAUCUCCACAGGGUGUUCUCCCUAAGAGGAAGAAACUGCCUCUAGUAAAACUGACCUUCUGAGUGGUUCCAUGGAGAGCUGUGUGGUCCCGGUGCUCAGACCGAACAGGUAAGCCUCAAGACCUGUACCCCAGCCACUCCAUCCCCAUCAUGCCAGGGAUAAGUUCCUUCUCCAACCACGAAAGCUGAUGUGGUGACUUCUGCCUUUGGCUUUGCAUGUGAUAAAGCUACCAUGAAAAGCUUAGACCCCAUUCUCAGACCAUAAAAGGAGAAGACCUGGCAUCCCCUUCAGUAAGCCAUAACUGAAUGCGUAGCUUAACUGAUGGAGUAGGGCUGGGGCAAAGCCUCUGCCACAACAUAUCACAGUUGCAUACUAAGCCAUAGUGACACCAAAGAGGGGCUAUAGUCAUGCAGUGGAGAAGCUCACAGACCAAUGCUUAAGGUCUCUUAUCUGAUCCUGUCUGAUUGUUGUUCAUGGAUAUGCAGUGUGACAGGUAUCACCUGCCUCAGUUCCCGUCUCUUGGAGGACAACAUCAAGGACGAUGGUCUAGUGAAUGGCCUUAGAUCUGACCCAUUCUCAGAUGCCAAUAUUUUACCUCUUGGGUACUUUCUGUGUAGAAGAUUCAUAACAAGAACAAUGUUUAUUCUGCAAUUCUUUAUAUAAAGCUAAAAAUAAAUUUUGAAAUGAUCUGAAUAUUUUUCUUUAAAGUAUCUUUAAUCAAAAGGCUCUAUUUUUUAAAAUGGUAUAGAAUUUAAUUCAACUGGUCAUGUGUUAACUAAUUUCCAACAAUAAGUUCCUGAAAGUAAAACAUGUAAAAUAAUGAAUUAUAGAUGUUUCUUUGAAGGAACUGUCAGUCUAGUUAAGGACAAAAAAUUUCCCUUUAUGAAACACUAGAUCGUCCCAGCACUUUGGGAGGCCGAGGCAGGAGGAUCACUUGAGCCCAGGAGUUUGAGACAGGUCUGGGCAACAUGGUGAAGCCCCAUGUCUACCAAAACUACAAAAAUUAGCUGGACCUGGCGUCAUGCACUUGUAGUCCUAGCUACUGGGGAGACUGAAGUGGGAGGACUGAUUGAGCCCACAAGGUGGAGGCUGCGGUGAGCUGUGAUCACACCACCGCACUCUAGCCUGGGUGACAGAGCAAGACUCUGUCUCAGAAAAAAAAAAAAAAAAAAAAAAAAAUCUAGAAAGCAGCACAAUGUGUCCAAGUAAUCAGGUACAGACAGGGUACCAAAGAUUAUUAAUGAGAACAGUGCAGGUAGUACAGGCUCAGAAAAAGAAGGGGCUGCCAUAAGAACCAUCAGCAGGAAUGGCACCUAGCAGCGAGAGAGAGGGAGCUGACCUUUGAGGAAUGGGCAAAAUGUAGAUAAAAAGCUGAGUAGUGGGAAAUCAUUCUGAUCCAGGAGAACAACAACUUCUGACUCCUGCAGCUCUCUAGUCAGUGUAGUUAGCUUACUCAAAGCAGAGUGUGCUAGAGCACAGGUAGCUGUCCAUCCUUACCUAUUAAUCCGUGCCAAUUCUCCUUGUAAAAAUUCAAGGUGGAUUUGCCUGGAGAAGUGGAAGGAAGUAAUGAGGGUCUACUGAAGCCAGGAUUUAUAUAUCUUGUGAUCCAGAUAAUAAAAUUUGGUUGCUCAAGCCUCUGGCCAUUGACCAGAGAAAGGCCUCCUCUUGAAAGCUCAGCUUGACCAUGAAGCCUUUAUGACAGCAUAGAAUGUGGGGAGAAUGCUUUUCCCCUCUCAAGAUGGCCCUUGCUUUAUAAAUGUUUUAAGAAGUGACAGAAUAAUACAGUUCUCCCAUUCUUGCAAAAUAAACUUUUAUUUGGAGGUACAGAAUAAUUUAGGGUUCAGGCUGUCGCACGCUUUUGAUAUCUGCAAACAUAUUUGUGUAUAUUGACUCAUUCCAUACAGCCCCAUUCCAGUCCUUGGUACAGUAUGGUUUGCCAUGCACACACUAGUUACAUGAACACACAGAAAUUGACUAGCUGAUAAAGAAUUUGAACACGUGGAGGCAGAGAGUAGAAAAAUGGAUAACAAAGACUGGGAAAAGUGAGAGAAGUAGGUUAAAAGAUGCAGACAUACAAUAAGAUAGAAUGCGUAAAUUCAGUGUUUGAUAGCAGAGUAGGAUGACUAUACUUAACAAAAUGUAUUGUACUUAAGCAACAGACACCUUGAUUACCCUGGCUUGAUCACUAUGUAUUAUAUACACAUAGCAAAAUUUAUCAUGUGCUCUAUACAUUUGCACAAAUUAAAAAGAGAAAGGAACUGGACAGCUGAUUAAUGAG